rnacentral:rRNA from 1 species
UGAACGCUGGCGGUAGGCCUAACACAUGCAAGUCGAACGGCAGCGCAGUAAGAGCUUGCUCUUACGGGUGGCGAGUGGCGGACGGGUGAGGAAUACAUCGGAAUCUACUUUUUCGUGGGGGAUAACGUAGGGAAACUUACGCUAAUACCGCAUACGACCUACGGGUGAAAGCAGGGGAUCUUCGGACCUUGCGCGAUUGAAUGAGCCGAUGUCGGAUUAGCUAGUUGGCGGGGUAAAGGCCCACCAAGGCGACGAUCCGUAGCUGGUCUGAGAGGAUGAUCAGCCACACUGGAACUGAGACACGGUCCAGACUCCUACGGGAGGCAGCAGUGGGGAAUAUUGGACAAUGGGCGCAAGCCUGAUCCAGCCAUACCGCGUGGGUGAAGAAGGCCUUCGGGUUGUAAAGCCCUUUUGUUGGGAAAGAAAAGCAGCAGGUUAAUACCCCGCUGUUCUGACGGUACCCAAAGAAUAAGCACCGGCUAACUUCGUG